rnacentral:rRNA from 1 species
GAUGAACGCUGGCGGCGUGCUUAACACAUGCAAGUCGAACGAAGCACUUUAUUUGAUUUCCUUCGGGACUGAUUAUUUUGUGACUGAGUGGCGGACGGGUGAGUAACGCGUGGGUAACCUGCCUUGUACAGGGGGAUAACAGUUGGAAACGGCUGCUAAUACCGCAUAAGCGCACAGCAUCGCAUGAUGCAGUGUGAAAAACUCCGGUGCUAUAAGAUGGACCCGCGUUGGAUUAGCUAGUUGGUGAGGUAACGGCCCACCAAGGCGACUAUCCAUAGCCGACCUGAGAGGGUGACCGGCCACAUUGGGACUGAGACACGGCCCAAACUCCUACGGGAGGCAGCAGUGGGGAAUAUUGCACAAUGGGCGAAAGCCUGAUGCAGCGACGCCGCGUGAGCGAAGAAGUAUUUCGGUAUGUAAAGCUCUAUCAGCAGGGAAGAUAAUGACGGUACCUGACUAAGAAGCACCGGCUAAAUACGUG